AAUGGUCCACUGCACUGGUCCCCUUCGUAUUUGGAUAAUUGUUCGGUUGCUUCUGGGUUCGUCGUUGAGCAGGAAAAUGGGACAAUAAGGCAUAAGCAAUCAAAAAAAGGAAAUGGCAUCACAAUUAACGUUGCAGUUGCAGUUGCAGAGCAGAGGGUUGGUGCCUGAUCUGGUACGAUUUGGCGCUUUUCUAAAACAUGUUUUCGCAUUGCCUAGUCUCGCCUUUAAGAAACAAAUUUCAUGUAUAAGAAAAAAGAAAAAAAGAAACAAAUUUCAAAACACGGGAAAUUUUAAGAAUUCGGAACAGCUAUCUGAAGUUCUGAACAGAAGGAGGACAAAAGGGUACAUAGAGAGAGACACGGAAGACAUGUUAGGCAUCCUCAGACCUGGGUAUCAAACUACAAUCGAAGUAUCAUCAAGCUUGUCCCGCUUCAUGAAUCAUGAGCAGCAGUGGAAAGGUGCUUGUUUGAUGGUCUUUAUGCGCCUAAUUGCAUGUUACGUCCGUUUAGUUUAGACAGUGUGUAAACACAUUAGUGUGGCUAUUGUUUGAGGUUGCUCUGGACCGGACCUGAUUAAGCAAGCAUGGGUUGAACCAAAUCCGGAACAUAUCGUUAUUAUACAGGUUGUCAAACAAUGCAUCAAUCCGUCCCAAUUUUAACAUUGGAAGGCAAUUUGAACCCUGCACCUCCCCUUUUGAAUCUUUCACCUCCUGAUUUUUUAAUAUCCCCAAAUUACACUUUUCAUAUUAUACCUUUUCUGAUUUUUGUGUUGACUCCCCCAUUGAUUUCUUUCAACUUCACAACUCCAGAGAGGUUGGCUCGACAUGCAGGUGUGUUUUCUCUCAUGUUUUUUUUUAUUAAACUUUUGUUUCAUGGACAAUCCUUUCUGUAAGGGGAACAAUGACAAUCAUAUUCGAAACAGUUAUUCUAAAAGCUUUUAUUUUGAUUA